rnacentral:lncRNA from 1 species
UGUAACUAGAGCAUGUCAGAUACACAUAUCGUUCUUAGCCUACAGUACAUGCAUAACAUGUUAAAUUUUAUGUAUGAUCCAUAAAGAUUAGGGCAGGCUACUUACAUACAUGAUUCACAACAAGAUUAAAACAAGUUACUUACAGUAAUUUGCCUUUUUCCUAGGUCUCCCGCGUCCUGGUGACGAGUCCUAAGUCACCUACAAUCAUGUCAUAACAAUAAUAUGUUAUUUCCUUUUCUACCUGAAGUUUAGCCCAUCCCUCAUCCGGAUUCAUCCAAAUAGACUGGGUCUGGUUUUAUUGGGUUCACCUAACCCAUUCUAAUUAUAUAUAUAUACACACACAUAUAUACAUAUAUAUAUAUAUAUAUAUUUAUUUAAACUUAACGGGUUGCGGGUUCGGGUUCGGGUUCGGACCCGACCCGCGAACCCGUGCUCAUGUUUUUUCCUUCUCCCCCCUUCCAGAGGCUUCCGCCUCUUCACCUUCCGCGACCCCUCUCUCCUCCGACGCUCUUCCUCUCUCUUCUCUUC